rnacentral:rRNA from 1 species
UGGGGAAUAUUGCACAAUGGGCGCAAGACUGAUGCAGCCAUGCCGCGUGUGUGAAGAAGGCCUUCGGGUUGUAAAGCACUUUCAGUCGGGAGGAAGGUGUCAAGGUUAAUAACCUUGGCAAUUGACGUUACCGACAGAAGAAGCACCGGCUAACUCCGUGCCAGCAGCCGCGGUAAUACGGAGGGUGCAAGCGUUAAUCGGAAUUACUGGGCGUAAAGCGCACGCAGGCGGUUGAUUGAGUCAGAUGUGAAAUCCCCGGGCUUAACCCGGGAAUUGCAUCUGAUACUGGUCAGCUAGAGUCUUGUAGAGGGGGGUAGAAUUCCAUGUGUAGCGGUGAAAUGCGUAGAGAUGUGGAGGAAUACCGGUGGCGAAGGCGGCCCCCUGGACAAAGACUGACGCUCAGGUGCGAAAGCGUGGGGAGCAAACAGG